UGGGGAAUAUUGCACAAUGGGCGAAAGCCUGAUGCAGCGACGCCGCGUGAGGGAUGACGGCCCUCGGGUUGUAAACCUCUUUCAGCAGGGAAGAAGCGAAAGUGACGGUACCUGCAGAAGAAGCGCCGGCUAACUACGUGCCAGCAGCCGCGGUAAUACGUAGGGCGCAAGCGUUGUCCGGAAUUAUUGGGCGUAAAGAGCUCGUAGGCGGUUAGUCGCGUCUGCUGUGAAAACUCGAGGCUCAACCUCGGGCUUGCAGUGGGUACGGGCUGACUAGAGUGCGGUAGGGGUGACUGGAAUUCCUGGUGUAGCGGUGGAAUGCGCAGAUAUCAGGAGGAACACCGAUGGCGAAGGCAGGUCACUGGGCCGCAACUGACGCUGAGGAGCGAAAAGCAUGGGGAGCGAACAGGAUUAGAUACCCCUGGUAGUCCAUGCCGUAAACGUUGGGCACUAGGUGU
rnacentral:rRNA from 1 species